GACGAACGCUGGCGGCGUGCUUAACACAUGCAAGUCGAACGGAAAGGCCCUGCUUUUGUGGGGUGCUCGAGUGGCGAACGGGUGAGUAACACGUGAGUAACCUGCCAUUGACUGUGGGAUAACUUCAGGAAACUGGUGCUAAUACCGGAUAGGAGCUCCUGCUGCAUGGUGGGGGUUGGAAAGUUUCGGCGGUUGGGGAUGGACUCGCGGCUUAUCAGCUUGUUGGUGGGGAAGUGGCUUACCAAGGCUUUGACGGGUAGCCGGCCUGCGAGGGUGACCGGCCACAUUGGGACUGAGAUACGGCCCAUACUCCUACGGGAGGCAGCAGUGGGGAAUAUUGCACAAUGGGCGGAAGCCUGAUGCAGCAACGCCGCGUGCGGGAUGACGGCCUUCGGGUUGUAAACCGCUUUCGCCUGUGACGAAGCGUGAGUGACGGUAAUGGGUAAAGAAGCACCGGCUAACUACGUG
rnacentral:rRNA from 1 species